CGAUAAACUCAAUUCAACGCUCUGUGAGCUAUCUAAAGUUUGUCUGUUCCUCUCAAAUGAUAAUAGUUACUAUUGUCAUUUUCCUUGUAAAUUAUUCUAGCUUAGGCACAUAAUAUGACAACGUCAUAUUUGUUCUAAUUAUCUCACAAUUAUUCUUUAGCUCAGUUUCUACUCAUUUCUUGAUUCACGGAUCAUUUUAUUUUGCUCAAAGUGAUUCAAAUUUAUAUUUUAUCAUUUCAUAGAGUUCCCCAUAAUUUUUGGGAUAAUAAUAUAUCACUCAUAUAUUUUUCUCUUAACUUUAUGAGCUAAAUCAUUCAGUGUCUAAAUCAAUUCGUACCGAUUUUAAAAAAAUAUAUAUCUUCUCAAAGUAUCUUUAGAAAAUAUCUCACCAUCCUUAUCCCUCCGUCCACCUCAUCCUCGGCUCACUCUCAUUUCUUUCUUCCUUCACGUUUUUUUUCUUUCUUUUGCUGCAUACCCAUUUCAUUUGUUCUUCUUCAUGUUUUCUCCUUUCUUGUUCUCUUCUUCUCCUCAUCACCAACACCAAAUUCUUAUUUUCUCUCUUGUACAGCACCUCACCAUCAUCACGAGUUGCUUCUUCCUUCAUGUUCAAGCCGCCACCAAUCCUCUCCAUGGCCACAACGAAGCCAGCCAUCACCACCAUGGUUUUCCUUUCUUCUUCAUUCACGUGCAGCACCCACACCAUCACCACCGUCCCUCAUCCUCACCAUGGCAACAGUCCAGCCAAGAGGCCACCAUAAUCACGUUCUUCUUCUCCUUUCCACCAUGAAAACCAUCACCACAAACAUGUUCUUGUUCUGCCCCUCCUUCUUCACGCAAGAAAGCCACCAUGGCAGCCACCAUGUUCCUCUUCUUUCUCUCCAUGGCCACCACGAGAAGGCCAGCACCACAAACGUACAGCCCCAUUCAUCAUAUGGUAUUGUUCAAGCUUCAUCUUCCAUAUCAUGACAAGGAGACACCAUCACCAUGCCACUUUACUUCCUCAUGUGGGUAUGAAUAACGGAAGCGCUUGACGACGAAGCCAAAGAACAGACGGAAGUGAGCCAACACGGGAAAGCAAAGAUAUGACUGGAUUUGAUUUGAGUCGCAACUUAGUAAGGAAAGCGCCUAAGAUGUCGAUGGCCGACUGGUGUUCGAUGGUCUCUCCCUCGGGGGGGGAUCAGAUAUGAGCUUGUGGAUCGGGAUGCCCCCACCGCUUGGGGUGAUCGAUGUUGUGGGUCAUCGAGCGACGUACCGGGGAAGGGUCAUGGAGGACCGGACUGACGAGUGUGAACAUCUGACGAAAGAAGUUCUACGACGCAUGGA